GACGAACGCUGGCGGCGUGCUUAACACAUGCAAGUCGAGCGGCAAGGCCCUUUCGGGGGUACACGAGCGGCGAACGGGUGAGUAACACGUGGUGACCUGCCCUCAGCUCUGGGAUAAGCCUGGGAAACCGGGUCUAAUACUGGAUAUGACUCCAUGACGCAUGUUGUGGGGUGGAAAGCCUUGUGCGGCUGAGGAUGGGCCCGCGGCCUAUCAGCUUGUCGGUGGGGUGAUGGCCUACCAAGGCGACGACGGGUAGCCGGCCUGAGAGGGCGACCGGCCACACUGGGACUGAGACACGGCCCAGACUCCUACGGGAGGCAGCAGUGGGGAAUCUUGCGCAAUGGGCGAAAGCCUGACGCAGCGACGCCGCGUGAGAGAUGACGGCCUGGUGUAAC
rnacentral:rRNA from 1 species